rnacentral:rRNA from 1 species
CCUACGGGUGGCAGCAGUGAGGAAUAUUGGUCAAUGGGAGAGAUCCUGAACCAGCCAAGCCGCGUGAGGGAAGACGGCCCUAUGGGUUGUAAACCUCUUUUGUCGGGGAGCAAAACCCGGGACGUGUCCCGGACCGCGUGUAUCCGAAGAAAAAGCAUCGGCUCACUCCGUGCCAGCAGCCGCGGUAAUACGGAGGAUGCGAGCGUUAUCCGGAUUUAUUGGGUUUAACGGGUGCGUAGGCGGUGCGUUAAGUCAGCGGGAAAAUUGCGGGGCUAAACCCCGGCGUGCCGUUGAAACUGGCAGACUGGAGUUGGGGAGAAGUACGCGGAAUGCGUGGUGUAGCGGUGAAAUGCAUAGAUAUCGCGCAGAACUCCGAUGGCGAAGGCAGCGUACCGGCGCCAGACUGACGUUGAGGCACGAAAGCGUGGGGAUCGAACAGGAUUAGAUACCCUUGUAGUC